rnacentral:rRNA from 1 species
CCUACGGGUGGCUGCAGUGGGGAAUAUUGGACAAUGGGGGCAAUCCUGAUCCAGCCAUGCCGCGUGUGUGAAGAAGGCCCUCGGGUUGUAAAGCACUUUCAGUGAGGAAGAACGCCUGGUGGUUAAUACCCAUCAGGAAAGACAUCACUCACAGAAGAAGCACCGGCUAACUCCGUGCCAGCAGCCGCGGUAAUACGGAGGGUGCGAGCGUUAAUCGGAAUUACUGGGCGUAAAGCGCGCGUAGGUGGCUUGAUAAGCCGGUUGUGAAAGCCCCGGGCUCAACCUGGGAACGGCAUCCGGAACUGUCAAGCUAGAGUGCAGGAGAGGAAGGUAGAAUUCCCGGUGUAGCGGUGAAAUGCGUAGAGAUCGGGAGGAAUACCAGUGGCGAAGGCGGCCUUCUGGACUGACACUGACACUGAGGUGCGAAAGCGUGGGUAGCAAACAGGAUUAGAUACCCUAGUAGUC